UAAUGCGCUGGCAGAUGUCUACACAUGCAGUCGACGAGAAGUCCUGCUUGCGGGAUGAGUAAGUGGCGCACGGGUGAGUAACACGUGGAUAAUCUGCCUCUAAGCGAGGAAUAACAUUUCGAAAGGAAUGCUAAUACCUCAUAAAGUUAUUUUCUCUUCGGAGAAAAUAGCCAAAGGUGACCUCUGUCUCAAGUUGCCGCUUAGAGAUGAGUCCGCGUCCCAUUAGCUAGUUGGUAGGAUAAAAGCCUACCAAGGCGACGAUGGGUAGCUGGUCUGAGAGGAUGAUCAGCCACACUGGAACUGAGAUACGGUCCAGACUCCUACGGGAGGCAGCAGUGAGGAAUCUUGCGCAAUGGGGGAAACCCUGACGCAGCAACGCCGUGUGAGUGAUGAAGGCUUUCGGGUCGUAAAGCUCUGUUUGAAGGGACGAAACGUAUUUGACUAAUACUCAAAUAAAUUGACGGUACCUUCGGAGGAAGCACCGGCUAACUCCGUGCCAGCAGCCGCGGUAAUACGGAGGGUGCAAGCGUUGUUCGGAAUCACUGGGCGUAAAGGGCGUGUAGGUGGCUAAUUAAGUCAGGUGUGAAAUCCUUCCGCUUAACGGAAGAAGUGCACUUGAAACUGCUUAGCUAGAGUACGAGAGAGGAAGGUGGAAUUCCUGGUGUAGAGGUGGAAUUCAUAGAUAUCGGGAAGAACACCGGUGGCGAAGGCGGCCUUCUGGCUCGAUACUGACGCUGAGACGCGAAAGCGUGGGGAGCAAACAGGAUUAGAUACCCUGCUAGUCCACGCCGUAGACGUUGGGCACUAGGUGGAGGAGGUUUUUAUUCCCUUCUUUGCUGCAGCUAACGCAUUAAGUGCCCCAGCCUGGCUAGUACAGGUCAGCAAGGG
rnacentral:rRNA from 1 species